rnacentral:lncRNA from 1 species
GGCUCGUUCCCCCUGUGCCACCCCUCACACCUCCCCUCUGCUGCUCAGAGCGUUUCAGCGUCCCCUCCGGAGAGCCCCCCCACCGAGGAGCGGACAGGGGGCACAGGGCUGAAGCGGAAACGGGAGGAGAGGGACCCGGCUGGGCAUGAUGAUAGCGAUGGGGACAAGAGUGACUGCAACCUGGUGGUGGAUGAGGACCCCCGCUCUGAGUCCAGCAGCCCCGGUCAGGCACCCAGCAGCCAGCUCCCACCAGCCCGGGACGUGCCCCAGAGCCCUGCCUCCGGUGGUGCCUCCGGUGCCUCCAGCCAGAGCGGGACCCCCCUGCGGCUGCAGGACCAGGGGCUGGUAAGGGGCAGCGCUGGGGCAGUGCGGGCUGUGGGGCAGCAGGGCUUGCGAUGGGGACGGGGUUGCUCUGCUGUGCUCGAUGCUGAGCGUCCCGCACGGGGGGCAGAGGUUGGUGCCGGCGGGAGAGGUUAAUCGUCUGCUAGGCGAGGGCCCAGCUCUGCAGGUAUUUUCCAUCUGGCUGCCUGCAGGAUUCCCCAGAGCUGCUCUGAGCAAUUGAUUUUUUUUAUUAUUUUUUAUUUUUUCCCUUCCCCCAUCACCAAGCACCGGCCCAAUUCUCAGAUUGAAACAUCAGCGAGGGGGAGGGCCAGCUCUGUCACCCCCGGCCCUCCCGGCCGCUGCAGGGAGCCCGAAGCGAUUCG